rnacentral:rRNA from 1 species
AACGAACGCUGGCGGCAGGCCUAACACAUGCAAGUCGAACGCUCGUAGCAAUACGGGAGUGGCAGACGGGUGAGUAACGCGUGGGAACAUACCCUUUGGUUCGGAAUAACUGAGAGAAAUUUCAGCUAAUACCGGAUGUGCCCUAUGGGGGAAAGAUUUAUCGCCAAAGGACUGGCCCGCGUCUGAUUAGCUAGUUGGUGAGGUAACGGCUCACCAAGGCGACGAUCAGUAGCUGGUCUGGGAGGCUGAUCAGCCAGCCUGGGACUGAGACACGGCCCAGACUCCUACGGGAGGCAGCAGUGGUGAAUAUUGGACAACGGGGGCAACCCUGAUCCAGUCAUGCCGCGUGAGUGAUGAAGGCCUUAGGGUUGUAAAGCUCUUUCGUCAGGGAAGAUAAUGACGGUACCUGAAGAAGAAGCCCCGGCUAACUUCGUGCCAGCCGCCGCAAUAACAC